rnacentral:rRNA from 1 species
UACGUAGGGUGCAAGCGUUGUCCGGAAUUAUUGGGCGUAAAGAGCUCGUAGGUGGCCUGUCGCGUCGGCUGUGAAAACUCGGGGCUCAACUCCGAGCUUGCAGUCGAUACGGGCAGGCUAGAGUUCGGCAGGGGAGACUGGAAUUCUCGGUGUAGCGGUGAAAUGCGUAGAUAUCGAGAGGAACACCUGCGGCGAAGGCGGGUUGCUGGGCUGACACUGACGCUGAUGCGCGAAAGCCAGGGGAGCGAACGGG